UACGUAGGGUGCAAGCGUUGUCCGGAAUUAUUGGGCGUAAAGAGCUCGUAGGCGGUUCGUCGCGUCGGCUGUGAAAACCCGGAGCUCAACUCCGGGCCUGCAGUCGAUACGGGCGGACUUGAGUGUUGCAGGGGAGACUGGAAUUCCUGGUGUAGCGGUGAAAUGCGUAGAUAUCAAGAGGAACACCUGAGGUGAAGACGGGUUGCUGGGCUGACACUGACGCUGAGGCGCGAAAGCGUGGGGAGCGAACAGG
rnacentral:rRNA from 1 species